rnacentral:rRNA from 1 species
AAUAUUGGACAAUGGGGGAAACCCUGAUCCAGCCACCCCGCGUGUAUGAUGAAGGCCUUCGGGUUGUAAAGUACUUUUGGCAGAGAAGAAAAGGUAUCUCCUAAUACGAGAUACUGCUGACGGUAUCUGCAGAAUAAGCACCGGCUAACUACGUGCCAGCACCCUCGGUAAAACGUAGGGUGGAAGCGUUAAUCGGAAUUACUGGGCAUAAAACGGGGGUAGGCGGUUCGGAAAGAAAGAUGUGAAAUCCCAGGGCUCAAACUUGGAGCUGCAUUUUUAACUGCCGAGCUAGAGUAUGUCAGAGGGGGGUAGAAUUCCACGUGUAGCAGUGAAAUGCGUAGAUAUGUGGAGGAAUACCGAUGGCGAAGGCAGCCCCCUGGGAUAAUACUGACGCUCAGACACGAAAGCGUGGGGAGCAAACA